ACCUAUCACUGGGCUUAUCUGAUCUUGGAGGUAGAGUGGGAUCAGGCCUGGUUAGUACUAGGAUCAGAGACUACUUGAGAAUUCCAGAUGUUGUAGGCU
rnacentral:rRNA from 1 species